ensembl:ncRNA C05D2.17 ncRNA
CGAGACCUGGUACCGUAUGUUUGGCGCAAAAAUCGCAAAUUUCACGUCUGGGUAAUAGCAAAGGCAAGCAUUCAAAAACCCCUUACCGGCCUCGCUUGCGGUGAUGCACGGGUGGCCUACUGGCUAACACUCUCGUCUGCAAAGCA